rnacentral:rRNA from 1 species
AGAGGUUUGAUCCUGGCUCAGGAUGAACGCUGGCGGCGCGCUUAACACAUGCAAGUCGAACGAGGUCCAUGGAGCUUGCUCCGGAAGACCUAGUGGCGAACGGGUGCGGAACACGUGAGAAACCUGCCUCGAUCUCUGGGAUAACAGUUGGAAACGACUGCUAAUACCGGAUGCCAUCACACCGUUUCAUGACGGAGUGAUGAAAGAUUUAUCGGAUCGAGAGGGUCUCGCGGCCUAUCAGCUAGUUGGAGAGGUAACGGCUCACCAAGGCAUCGACGGGUAGCUGGUCUGAGAGGAUGAUCAGCCACACUGGGACUGAGACACGGCCCAGACUCCUACGGGAGGCAGCAGUGGGGAAUAUUGCACAAUGGGCGAAAGCCUGAUGCAGCGACGCCGCGUGCGGGAAGAAGGCCCUAGGGUUGUAAACCGCUUUCAGUAGGGAAGAAAAUGACGGUACCUACAGAAGAAGGUGCGGCCAACUACGUGCCAGCAGCCGCGGUGACACGUAGGCACCAAGCGUUAUCCGGAUUUAUUGGGCGUAAAGAGCUCGUAGGCGGCUCGGUAAGUCGGGUGUGAAAACUCUGGGCUCAACCCAGAGAGGCCACCCGAUACUGCCGUGGCUAGAGUACGGUAGGGGAGCGGGGAAUUCCUGGUGUAGCGGUGAAAUGCGCAGAUAUCAAAGGAACACCAGCGGCGAA